rnacentral:rRNA from 1 species
AACGAACGCUGGCGGCAUGCCUAACACAUGCAAGUCGAACGAAGGCUUCGGCCUUAGUGGCGCACGGGUGCGUAACGCGUGGGAAUCUGCCCUUGGGUUCGGAAUAACUCAGAGAAAUUUGAGCUAAUACCGAAUGAUGUCGAAAGACCAAAGAUUUAUCGCCCAAGGAUGAGCCCGCGUAGGAUUAGCUUGUUGGUGAGGUAAAAGCUCACCAAGGCGACGAUCCUUAGCUGGUCUGAGAGGAUGAUCAGCCACACUGGGACUGAGACACGGCCCAGACUCCUACGGGAGGCAGCAGUGGGGAAUAUUGGACAAUGGGCGAAAGCCUGAUCCAGCAAUGCCGCGUGAGUGAUGAAGGCCUUAGGGUUGUAAAGCUCUUUUACCAGGGAUGAUAAUGACAGUACCUGGAGAAUAAGCUCCAGCUAAACUCCGUGCCAGCAGCCGCGGUAAAGUACAGUGU